rnacentral:rRNA from 1 species
CCUACGGGAGGCAGCAGUGAGGAAUAUUGGUCAAUGGACGAGAGUCUGAACCAGCCAAGUAGCGUGAAGGAUGACUGCCUUCUGGGUUGUAACCUUCUUUAAUAAAGAAAUAAAACGCGCCAUGCGUGUUUUUUCGCACGUACUUUCUUACUUACGAUCGGCUAACUCCGUGCCAGCCGCUGCCGUAAUACCGAGGAUCCGAGCGUUUGACGGAUUUGUUGGGUUUAAAGGGAGCGUAGAUGGGUUGAUAAGUCAGUUGUGAAAGUUUGCGGCUCAACCGUAAAAUUGCAUGUGAAACUGGCAGUCUUGAGUACAGUAGAGGUAGGCGGAAGUCGUGGUGUAGCGGUGAAAUGCUUAGAUAUCACGAAGAACCCCGAUUGCGAAGGCAGCUGACUAAACUGCGACUGACAUUGAUGCUCGAAAGUGUGGGUAUCAAACAGGAUUAGAUACCCGGGUAGUC